GUGGCGAGUUAGGUCACAAAACCACCACUGAGCAGGCGCGAGAGGGAGCACGACGGGGCGAAGGAGGCGGAGGGAAGACAAGGACGGCCGCCCUAGACGCCGUAGAGAGCCGGGGCGUGGCUAGGCAGGGGUAAAGGCAGCGACCGCUAAAACAAGCAGCCUAAGUCAGGGGGGGGGGAGGGAAAAACAACAAGAACACUAGACAAUCCAAUAUCUAAUUUCAUACCCCUCUGAGUACUUCCGAAAACCAUUCCCGUGAAGACAACGAACACAAGUUCUAACACUACUAAGUCUACCCCUAGGAAAACAGGGGUUACUAAAACGACUCCUACUAGGAAAAGUUCUA
rnacentral:rRNA from 1 species